CGCCCUUCCGAGGUAGGCAAUUUCAUCUUUAGAACUUCUCUUUCCAUAUCCACCAACACCCUUCACAGGGAAUGGAAAUGUUAAAUUUUAUUUUUUUAGAGUUAAUCUUGUUGAAAUUCACUAGAGAAAUGAAUAUUGAUUAAAAAAAAAAAACUCACAGUUGCCAAAAUCUUGGGACAGUUUCACUACAGAAAUGAUGAAGGCCUUCUUUCCAAGCUGUCCCUGCCUCGUCACCAGAAGCAGAGGAACCAGGAGACAAGAGCAGGGAAGAGGGGGUCCCUGGAUUUCUCAGGCCCAAGAAGGAGCAGCCUCAGUGGAGAUGUGUAUGCUGACUUUCUAAGUCUCCAUCAGAACAGGGUCCUGGCAUACUGGUGGAGCUUGGGCCUGCUGCAAACAAGCUGGUCUUGGAGUGAAAAACGAACACACCCAGGGAGGGCUCCACAGAUCCUUAGAGACAGCCUUUAAUAUCCUCACCAAAGCCCCAGUAAGUCUCCCCAAGGUGACUCAGCUACCCAAAGGUCAACCCAUGGAUAAGGGUGAACAAGAACAGAGCCUGCAUUUUUCAGAUUUUCCUCACAGUCCUCACAAGCCAUAACGGUCCUUGAGAGGAAGCUGAGCCCUCCUCCUUGGAAGGGAGGGAAGGAAUGAAGAUUGGCUGGAGUGAGUCACCCUUCCUCUCCUGCCAAGAGGUGCCCACCCUGGAACUCUGCCCAUCUGUCUGGAUUCAUUCUGCACAACCUUCUGAGCACCUCCUGUUUGCCAGAUGCUGCAGAUAAAGAUAUCGCAUCUAUUGGCAAGUGAGGAAACUGAGACUCAGAGUUCCCAAGACAACGCAGCAAGUGACACAGUAGAAAUCUUUUUACUUUAUUUUUAAUGGAAGGAUAAUCGAUCUACAGUAUUGUGUUGAUUUCUGCUACACAUCAACCUGAAUCAGCCAUAGGCAUACAUCUGUCCCCUCUCUCUUGAACCUCCCUCCCACCUCCCACCGGCUCCUGCCCCUCUAGGUUAUUACAGAGCCUUGUUCGAGUUCUGGAAUCACACCGCAAAUUCCCUUGAUCUCUAUUUGACAAAUGGUAGCGUAGAUGUUGGGGUUUCCCUCAUACCUCAAGUUGGUAAAGAAUCUGCCUGCAAUGCAGGAGACCCCGGUUUGAUUCCUGGGUCGGGAAGAUCUGCUGGAGAAGGGAUAGGCUACCCACUCCAGUAUUC
rnacentral:lncRNA from 1 species